AGAGCGUGCAACGGGCUUUGUUUUCAUUGCAGCAAGCGGUACGAACAGAGAGACCGCGACAGAAAUCUACAUCUUUAUUCAGGGGCAUUCAGCCGGAAGAAGGUGAGAUGAAGUGGAGAAAGUACACGUCAACCUAGCUGCACGGCCCGGCCGCCAUCCCCGCCCAGCCGGAGGACGUAACGCGGCGCCCCCUUUCGUCCACUUCCCACCCCGGCUUUUCAUUGGACACGGCUCGGCCCACGGCCACCUCUGACUGGCCCACGCUCGCUGUCACGCAACCCACGGAGCACGUCCCGACAACCCGACAAAAAGUGCAGCGGGAUGGGCCCCUCGUCAACAUGCAUGUAAAUUUAGCCUGGUUCAGCUCGGCACGGGUUCUGAGCUAAUUAAACACGGGGAACGAAAACUGAGAGUGGCUGUCGGAAGCCACAGCAGGCAAUUGAAACUUACAUUUCCACCCCCACCACACACACAUACGCUAACUCAAGACUUUUGCAACAACAAAGCGACAGUCACAGUACCAGAAUAUCCCAGCUACGAGAUUCCCCUGAACACAUCACAGGACCAGCUCGUUUUAACAGCUAAAACAAAUGCUAACAAGCUUUUUUAUUAUUUAGUAGCUGUGGUGCUAGCUUGUCAAACCGAGCACUAACGGCCCCGAAGAAAAGAGAGCAUCAUCUCUAAGGUGUCAUGUCUAUUUGUUCCUCCCUGUAAUGU